UCUCAUCUCCUCUUCUCCCUACCCCGCCUUUCUUUCUGGUCUGCAGAGUGGGGAGAGCCAGAGUUUGAUCUCAGAGCAGAAAGAAUCCACAAAACCACCCACAGAGCCUAGAAGAAAUGCGCUGGAACAAAGUGUUUCUUAGCCACUCGCUCAGGAGAGUGAUCAGAACCUGACACCCGCUCCAGUCCGUGCGUUCAUAUCCUUUUGUUGCAGAAGACCAAGUUCUGACCAGCAGGUAUUGUGAGGUCCGAUCCAGGGCAUCGCUUAGCAAAGCCGAGAGCUUCUGCGCCCUCCCUACUACCUUUCACUCGGCUAAGUGACAUUUGGGGGCUGCUGGGGAAACAGCUCACUCUCUGACUCUGAGACUCAGAACCCAGUGUCUGAGAAGUGCCAUCCAGAACCCCUCCUGGUCUUCUAGAGGCGUCCAUUGGUUCUUAACAUUCUGGGCCCCCCCCCCGGACCUCCACCUACCUGGUCUGGGUGUCCAAGGACGGAGCCUCCAGCCUAGCUUUGGGAGGCCAAACGUCUCCCUUGGUCUCUGUCCCAAAAGCCACUUCCAAGCCUUCCUGAGAGUGUGAUGCCCCCCUAAGAUCUGCUGCCCCCAGCACUUCUCCAGUGUCCAUACGUGACAUGGCCAUAGGCGAGGCCCCAUGCAUUUUGUUCUCCACUAUUUAAACACAUUCACUGAAGUUGUCCAUUGCCUAUCAUCUCGAAGCCAAGAAAACACAGAGUUUCUCCUGACCUGCUGGAGGGGUAGUCGCUACUGCAGAGCUGAACCCUAGGACAGAGUCUUCAGAGGAACAAUCAUCUCUCCCUUCUCUGCUUCUAUGCCUGGGACAGAUUUCCACUGAUGCACGCUGAAUACCUCAAGAUGUGGUCUGUUUACAUGUCGGGGUCCUCACUGGAGUCCAGUCCUCUAGGGCAAGUAUGCAUCUUUUCAUCUUAUAUCCCUGGUGCCCACCGCUGAAAUUUCAUUGAAACGCAUGUUGCUGAAACGGUUGUCGAAAAGCAGUAUAGUGUGGGGGUGAAGUCAGAAAGCCUGAGAUCACAUUCCCAGCUCCACUGCUUGCCAGCCACACAGCCUUCAGAGAAGUCAUUUAAAUGUUCUGUGCCUCCGUUUCCUCAUCUGUAAAAUGGGACAAAAAGAGCAUCUGCCUCGUAAAGUUAUUGUGAGGGCUGAAUGGGUCAAUAACAUAUCUAGUCCACAAUGCACCGGGGUUUUAGAUCCAACAAGGAAAGAAGAGACAAUCUGUGACACAAUGCUUUAUAUCAACGUCAGAGAUGUUUUAAAAUGUUUUAAAUGUCUACAUAAAACCCUUAGAGGGGUGCCUGGGGGGCUCAGUCGGUUAAGCACCCCUCCCCCGCUCAGCGGGGAGUCUGCUUCUCCCUCUGCCUCUCCUCCUUGCUCAUGCUCUCUCUCUCUCUCUCUCUUUCUCUCAAAUAAAGAAAAUUAAAUUAAAAUAAAAACACUUACAAGAGUAGCUAUCUAAGUGAAAGCCACUGCCAUUGCUGAAAUGCAUUCUCACAAAAGCCCCAUGAGGAGUGAGUUAAUCCUCACUUUACAGAUGAGGAAACAGAUGUCUUCAGAGAGCUGAAGGAGCUUGACCAAGCUCACAGGGCCGCGGAAUGCUCCGGAGGCAUUUAAAACCUGCCUUUGAGGUGCAAUAACCUACAGUUAUUACAAUAGCUGGCAGUCGCCCACCACCACGCUCAGCUACCAGGAGUUAGGAGCUGGGUUUUGUUCUCAAUUGCAUUAGCUUUCCUUAAUCUAAAUUUCUUCCCCCUCUGGUAUAAUAACUCUGCUUCUUCCUCCCCCUCCUCCUUUGUACUUGGCUCCGAUCUUGUUACUUUUCUGCUAAUGGCUUCAGUUUCUACUGUAUCUGCGAUUUGAAUCGAAAGCGACCUCAGAUCUUUUAUGGAGGUAGGAGGGGCAUCAAUAAAGGUCAAAAUUAGCUUUUAAAGAUGACGCGGAGCAAGAAUACGGCCACGAUCACACGUGGGGAUGUGUACGCGGACCCCCCCCCCCAGGGACUGCCCACGGCACUGCCCCCAGUACUGCCCCAGAGCCGUUCUGAUGCUCGGGGUCCUGAUACAGUGCCCAGCUCAGCAGGCCGCCUCGAGCUGGCGAUCUGUCACACCAGACUCUGUUUUCUCCUAUAACCCACUGAGACAUUACAGAGUGGAAAGGUAGAGGAGCUUGGGAAGUUACAGGGACUGGAGGCAGGGAACUUUUCUAGGACCUUCUCUGGCUCUCCUUGGUACUGCCCCCCCCCAAGAAGCAUGUACUUGAAAGAGUGUAAGUUUCUAGCUCACUAUUGCAGUGAGUCUGAGGCAAGGGAAAGCACCCCAUUAGCUCCAAACACAGCAACGUAAAAGGUGUGUCGCUGUUUUCAACAUCAGAAAGGGAACCCCUAAGAUGUAUUUUGUCUGGGGUUUUGUGGUCUCCCCACAACCCUCGUGGCAGCCCAGGAUUCACAGGUGUCAAGGUCACAGAAAGAUGCCGCUUGCCACUUCAGCCCACCAUUUCCCCACAGGAGGAACCCAAGUAUUCGACCUCUUCUGCCCAGCUCAUAAUACUCACAUGAUAAGGGUAAUAGAAGAUAAUGGAUAGAACAGGGCCUGGUAUUGUACGGGGGUUUUGCUUCCCAAGUCGGGAGGCCACGGGCCGGCUCAAGAGUCAUGUUUGUGAAUUUGCUUGGGUUUUUCAGGAUGGGAUCAGGGUGGAGAGGGCUUUUCUGAAACUUCUCUCAACUCUCCCACAUGCCCUGAGACCUGUCUGAGCAGAGCAGAGCCGAAAGCUGGGUGAGCAAGGCAGUUUGAGAAGGACGACUGCACAGGGAGCUUUGCCACGGGAAGCAGGGGGAACACGCCAUCCCUCAGUACCCCUGAAUGGAGCCUACUGUUCUUCCUCCAAGCCUGAAUAAAAUGUAUUCUAUGCUCGGAUCCACCAGACAAAGAAGGAAUAUAUCAACAAAGGCGGGGAAAGUCAAAAAUGGUUGUUCAGCGAUUCAUUCACGUACGUGUAGUUCAUCUCCAAGGCUUCCGAGAAAGCAGCUGCGCCCCAAAUCCCUUCCGACACUGUCUGCACCUAAGCCUCCUAUGAGAUAAUCCUCUUAAUGGAAUAUUUAAGAAAUCGGAUAUAAAUCACCAGCCUUUUAUCUCACCUGAAGAUCUAUACUCCAUAGGGCGGAUGGCGUGUAUGUCUAUCUACAUAUGGAUGGUUGCAGGUGCCUUUGGUCAGAGUCAACCCUGGUAAGGUCUCAGCUUCUGUGAUUCUCCCUCCAGACUUGUAGGGAGGAACAGCCGUAAGAAGGAGAUCAUAGUUUCCCGAGUUGGCUGUACGUGGGAAAGAGAUUUCUCGUAAAACACAGGCAAGAAAGAACAUUUUAUUUCUCUUCCCUAAACCCACAGGAAAAGAGCCAUCUGUACAACAGCCCAUACUGCUCUCUUGCCAUUCUGAGGGUCUCCAACUUGCAUUCUCUGCCUAGACUGCGAGGCAUCAUGUCCAGGGCGGGGAUCUUGGGGCCUCACAGACACCUGUUGAGUUGACUAGAGACGUCACACAGGGAGAGGUGGGGCUGGGGAGCAGACCUCAGCUCUCUCCUGGCCCCCACACUGCCUGCACACUUGCACAUAGCACUGUGUCUUUUGAAAGCCCAAUGAAAAGCAGGUCAAGGGCAAGCCCCAGCAAGCCCAAUUGUCCAGGCCUCCGAGUCCUGUCAUUAUGCCAUGUCCCUACCCCAGUUUGCUUCCUCGAGGCUUUUCCUGACUUGCUCCAGAAAUAAAGGAUGAAUUCCAACUUUUAAUAAGGAAAAUACUGUUCUCCUUUGCCAGCAUCCUAUCCCCCCGCCCCACCCCCUCCAAAACAAAAUCGCACUUUCUUGUCGUUUUCCAUCUUGCAACUCUGUCAGUUGUUUUAAAACAACUGUUUUAAAACAUGUCUCCUGUCACAAAUAAGAUUGUCAUCAUGCAUUUUGACUGCAGUGGUGAAAAAUUCACCCAGCUUGGAGAGAGGAGAGGGACCUCGGAGAGCCCCUUGAGGCCUGCCGCAGGACAGGAAUGAACGAGAGGAAAAGCAGACUGUGUCUACUCAUGGUUUUGAAAUGUAGUUCUUCUGGCUGUGGCUGUUUGGGUUGUUUGGGGGUUUUUUUGUUCAGUCAUUUGCUCAC